UCGGCCUUUUGGCUAAGAUCAAGUGUAG
rnacentral:piRNA from 3 species